GAGGCUUUAGCUUAAUUAAAGUGUCUGAGUUGCAUUCAGGAGAUGUGAGAUAGAAUCUUGCAAGUCUUA
rnacentral:tRNA from 2 species